rnacentral:rRNA from 1 species
GGAUGGGCAUGCGGCGCAUUAGCUGGUUGGCGGGGUAACGGCCCACCAAGGCGACGAUGCGUAGGGGUUCUGAGAGGAAGGUCCCCCACACUGGUACUGAGACACGGACCAGACUCCUACGGGAGGCAGCAGUGAGGAAUAUUGGUCAAUGGGCGAGAGCCUGAACCAGCCAAGUCGCGUGAGGGAGUACUGCCCUAUGGGUUGUAAACCUCUUUUGUCGGGGAGCAAAAGCCGGACGUGUCCGGCUGUGAGAGUACCCGAAGAAAAAGCAUCGGCUAACUCCGUGCCAGCAGCCGCGGUAAUACGGAGGAUGCGAGCGUUAUCCGGAUUUAUUGGGUUUAAAGGGUGCGCAGGCGGAUUUUUAAGUCAGCGGUCAAAUCGUGGGGCUCAACCCCAUCCAGCCGUUGAAACUGGGGAUCUAGAGUGUGCGAGAGGUAUGCGGAAUGCGUGGUGUAGCGGUGAAAUGCAUAGAUAUCACGCAGAACCCCGAUUGCGAAGGCAGCAUACCGGUGCACAACUGACGCUCAGGCACGAAAGCGUGGGUAUCGAACAGGAUUAGAUACCCUGGUAGUCCACGCAG